GUUAAAAGAAGAAGCUGCGCUUGUUGGCAUGGAGACGGACAGAGGAAGUUAAUUUGUUGGGUCAGACUGUGACCGUGGAUGUGACCCACUCCAUUCAAUGAUUUCUAUCACCUUCAACAGACAGUGUAAUUUUCUCAGUUGACUACGGGUGUUCAAUCACUUCCGCAAAACAAACUGUCCACUGCUUUUCCAUCUGGACUGGCACCAUAUUGGGUGGAUGACAGAACACAAGGAAAAUAUUUGACCUCAAAGAUGUCCUCAUAACAGCAAAGAACAUUCGACCAAGUUCUACUGCUCUCUUUAUUAACUUUGUCUGCUUAAUUGCCUGUGUUCAAAGUAUAUUAGAGGGUAGUUCUGAUCUCACUUCAGCUAUAAUAGAGUCUUUUUCUAGAGCCAAUCAGUGGUGUCACGUGCCUACACAAAAUGAGCUUGUGCUUUGGUUUUGUGUUUCCUCAAUGUCUACUGAUGUUCGUUCUGAACACACCUCUGCACAUGCUGGACUUUAACCAUGUUGCUAGGAGCCAAAGAGUGGGGUAGGAUUCUGUAUCGUAGAACAGAAAGUUUUGUGAACUUGGGGCACCUGCAUCUGUUCCUAGUGUACUAGACAAGAAACUAGUUGCCUUAAGGGAGGUCUUUAAAUGUUUCUAGCACUGUGACUGCAGCAGACAUUCCAUCAAUAAUCUUUGCUGGGACAGGUUGGAGUCGAAGGGAGACGAGUGAGCUUGUCCAGGGGUUAUUUUAUCAUCAUUCAUCAGAAUCUGAUGACAAGGCUUUAAUAAAGUAUUUCAAAAGCUUA